UUUGUCCCUUUGGGAUUGGCUUAUUUCACUCAACAUAAUGUUUUCCAAAUUCCUAACAGGGAUCACUUUUCAGUUAAAAUUUAAACACCUUAGAGUAAUUGUGUGUUAAUUACAGAGUUCAACCAAUGGUACUAGAAAAAAAAAUACUAAAAUGGAUAAAGUAUUACAUUGUACAUCAACCGUCAGGACAAGAGCUGAUCAAGUCACUGUUUCUCACAGUGUCCAUUUCACUUCAACAAGUUUCCCCUUUGGUGCUCAGUUAGUUGUCACCGAUCAGGGAGAACAUAUGAUAUUUGUCCCUUUGGGACUGGCUUAAUUCACUCAGCAGGAUGUUUUCCAAAUUCCUCCAUCUUGUUGCAAAUGACUGGGUUUCGUUGUUUUUGACUGCUGUAUAGUAUUCUAUAGAGUACAUGUCCCAUAAUUUCUUUAUCCAGUCUACUGUUGAUGGGCAUUUGGGUUGGUUCCAGGUCUUAGCUAUUGUGAAUUGAGCUGCAAUAAACAUUAAGGUGCAGACAGCUUGUUUGUUUGCCAAUUUCAUUUCCUUUGGGUAAAUUCCAAGGAGUGGUAUGGCUGGGUUGAAUGGUAGGGUUAUCUUCAGGUUUCUGAGGAAUCUCCAGACUGACUUCCAUAGUGGCUUGACCAGUUUGCAUUCCCACCAACAGUGGGUUAGUGUCCCUUUUUCCCCACAUCCUCUCCAGCAUC